rnacentral:lncRNA from 1 species
GUUCCUUAUCACCAAGAAAACAUAUUCAAUAGCAGAGAUCACAGUGGAGCUGUCUUGGAUUACUAAAAUUUCAUUACUUCCAUCAAAUUUGUCAUGGCACAUUUACAGAUAGAUAAAUUAUCAUGGAAUACUACACCUGUCAAAAUAGAUGAUAUGGGCUCCUUUGAAGAUUGGUCUAGAACAUUCCAGAGAAGAUAUCAAGGAAUUAUUUCAGGAGGUAGCAAAGCCUGGCAAAGUGAAGAAAAUGUGACUGAAGAGAUUGAAUUAAUGUGCUGACAUUCACACCCUUUAACCUUAGAGAUGUUAUUGGUUCUAAGCUUCAGUUUCUUUACGUGUGCAAGGAAAUAAUAAUAUCUACCUCAGGCACAUGUUUUAUUCUCAAACAGAGCUCUCUAGUAGAGAAAAGGAAAACUAGUUUCUUUGUUCAAGGCAUCAACCACUUAUCAAGCCAUCUUUAGAUUUCCUAUAGGAUGGGCUCAGAGGAACUGUGUGCUGCCCAUAGAGUAGUUAUAUCUGUUUUAAUGAACUAUGUCUAAUAAAUAAACUAAACUUUCCAAAAUUUCAGAACAUAAUGGAUUUUUAGAUAUAUGUUAGUUCUCUUCUCCUCAUUGCCUAUAAUUAUUCCAGAAUUUUCUGGGUAACUAGCUAAGUGACUAGAUGAUGUCAUCUACCUCAUAGCAGUAAAUCAACAGAGAAAUAUGUGAGGAUUUUAAUGACAGUUUUUAGAAAUGGUACAAAAUGAGAAUUUCAUUAGCCUUCGUUAAAGGUGAUAGAAGCCAAUUUUACUAGAUUAAAACAUUUUUAAAUUUCUCUCAAACUAACUGUAUUAGUCUGUUUUCACACUGCUGAUAAAGAUGUACCCGAGACUGUAUAAUUUACAAAAGAAAGAGGUUUAAUUGGACUCAACUUUCCACAUCUGGGGAGGCCUCUCAAUCAUGGUGGAAGGCAAGGAGGAGCAAUUCAAGUCUUACAUGGCUGCCAGCAGGCAAAGAGAGAGCUUUUGCAGGGAGUCUUCUAUUUUUCAAAACCAUCAAAUUUCAUGAGACUGAUUCAUUAUCAUGACAACAGCACUGAAAAGACCUGCCCCCAUGAUUCAAUUACCUCCCAUUGGCUUCCUCCCACAACAUGUGGGAAUUCAAGAUGAGAUGUGGAUGGGAACACAGUCAAACCGUAUCACUAACCUUCAAUCAUUGAUUUAAUAAACGUUUGCCAACUCUGCUCAGUGUGCCAGGUACUGUUGUACCUUUCCAUUGGGUGG